CAUUUUAUUGAGAGAAAUCUCCUUGCAAAAUAUCUCUCCUCCCACACAUCAAAAUACCCCUGUUUUUGACACAUGUAAAUGUGGUUUUAAUAAGGGAAUAAAAUACAGACUCAGGUACUCCCUCUCCUUUGUUUCUUCAGCCUUUCUCUCUCUCUCUCUUCACUUUUUAUUUUUGAAUUUACUAGCUUGUUGAGGAAAAGAAGGGGUGGGUAGGUGCUAUGUGGAGACAGUCAUGAUGAAAAUCUCUAGCCCCUGAGGGACACAGGUCAAAUUUCUCUGUGCGCUGGCAAAGAAACCCAUAGUCACUGCCAAAACCACAGAGUAAAGUCUUCACAAAAUCCCCUCAGACGGCGAUGUUUUCAGAGUUAAGCCUUUUCAUUUAUAUUUGGACAACCACCUGUUGACUUCUACUGGCGCUUGUCAAGGGCGGAUGGAUAGCGGGAACCUGCAGCAGAAUUAGCCCAUUCAGAGGGCUUGAUGCUCCUCUUUGAAGAAGUUGCCAUUGUUUUCAGUGGAGCCUAGUCAAGGCUCAUAAGAUCAAAACAUGAAAAACAAAAAAGGAAAGAGUUUACUUGGGGCAGGGUCUCGCUCUCCUCUUGUGAUUAUCACAGCUUCCACAGGCCAUCCUUUUAAAUCCAGGAAUCGAUCAGGGCAGUCUUUACGAUGCCUUUCCCAGUCCUGAAAUGCGGUGGGUGAGAGCCAGGGAAAGACAAGGGAGAAAGUCCAGGACAGCAGGGCCUGCUCCAUGGCUGCUGCUCUGCCUGAGCAUUUUCCAGGGCCAAUUCUGCUCCUACCAUGAAGAAAGAGGAGAGGAUGAAGGCAAAGGAAAGCCAGGGGAAGCGAACAGAUUGCAAAAUGUGCUUCAUUUAAACCCAAUCUCAGAUUUGCGAUGGGAGAGUUGACCACCAUAGGAUGGCAUCUUUGGCAAGGGGAUCUUCCCAACCCAGGAAUCAAACUGGCAUCUCCUGCAUUACCAGGCAAAUUCUUUACCGCUGGCCCACCUGGGAAAAGGCGUCUACACUCCUAAUUAAAUCCAGCAUCAACUGCAACCAGACCUGAGGCAAGGCUCAAGCGGGCAAAACAGGAUUAGGGCUUCUGUGAUGCUGGGGUUGCUUAUGAGAUGCUCAGUUCUCAAGAUUUAUCUUCCAAUUCCCCGAACAUGCAUCUAAAAGUAGCAUUUGGUUUUCUAAGCAAUGAAACACAUGUCAGUGAACACACAUGUCAUCGCCACAGCAUAGCCAGGGGAAGAGGUAGGCACUCCGCAGAGCAAAAGAGAGGGUUUUCUCAACUGCCUUCCUCCCCACCCUUGUGUCACUGCCUCUUUGAUCCCAGGCGCUCAUCUACCCUUCUCUCCAGAUGGAUCCCAUCUCUCUAUCAUCUUGAGGGCCACUGUUCUUCCCAAAAGGCCAUGAGCACCUUGUCUUGGCAGGUAUUUCUAAUAGAAAUGGGCAGGCACACACAGAGUUGAAGUGAGAAGAGUUUGAUGAAAGGACUACGCAGAGCAGAGCAGGGUUUGGGGUGUCACCAAAAGGAUGACAGAGCACCUAGAAACUAGCAAGAGUAAGAAGCCCUCACCACCUCCAGGCCUAAGAGGGCAAGAGAUGAGAGAGCUGCAGCUAUACAAGAGGGCUAUCCACCAGGGCUGGAGCCUAGGGGAGCAUGACCACCACCAUGGCCACAGCAGGAAG
ensembl:lncRNA